UAAGCAAUUAUACCGCGAAACUGCGAAUGGCUCAUUAUAUAAGUUAUAGUUUAUUUGAUAGCACCUUACUACAUGGAUAACUGUGGUAAUUCUAGAGCUAAAACAUGCUAAAAAUCCCGACUUCGGAAGGGAUGUGUUUAUUAGAUUAAAAACCAAUGCCCUUCGGGGCUGCUUGGUGAUUCAUAAUAACCUCUCGAAUCGCACGGCCUUGCGCCGGCGAUGGUUCAUUCAAAUUUCUUCCCUAUCAACUUUCGAUGCGAAGGUAUUGUCUUCGCAUGGUUACAACGGGUAACGGAGGGUUAGGGCUCGACCCCGGAGAAGGAGCCUGAGAAACGGCUACUACAUCCAAGGAAGGCAGCAGGCGCGCAAAUUACCCAAUCCCGACACGGGGAGGUAGUGACAAUAAAUACUGAUACAGGGCUCUUUUGGGUCUUGUAAUUGGAAUGAGUACAAUUUAAAUCCCUUAACGAGGAACAAUUGGAGGGCAAGUCUGGUGCCAGCAGCCGCGGUAAUUCCAGCUCCAAUAGCGUAUAUUAAAGUUGUUGUGGUUAAAAAGCUCGUAGUUGAACCUUGGGCCUGGCUGGCCGGUCCCCCUCACCGGGUGCACUGGUCCGGCCGGGCCUUUCCCUCUGUGGAACCGCAUGCCCUUCACUGGGUGUGCCGGGGAAACAGGACUUUUACUUUGAAAAAAUUAGAGUGCUCCAGGCAGGCCUAUGCUCGAAUACAUUAGCAUGGAAUAAUAGAAUAGGACGUGUGGUUCUAUUUUGUUGGUUUCUAGGACCGCCGUAAUGAUUAAUAGGGACAGUCGGGGGCAUCAGUAUUCAAUUGUCAGAGGUGAAAUUCUUGGAUCUAUUGAAGACUAACUACUGCGAAAGCAUUUGCCAAGGAUGUUUUCAUUGAUAAGGAACGAAAGUUAGGGGAUCGAAGACGAUCAGAUACCGUCGUAGUCUUAACUAUAAACUAUGCCGACUAGGGAUCGGACGGUGUUUAUACUUGACCCGUUCGGCACC
rnacentral:rRNA from 1 species